AGGACUGAGGCUUAGUGGUAGAGUGCUUGCCUAGCAUGCAUGAAGCCCUGGGUUCAAUUCCUCAGUACCA
rnacentral:tRNA from 1 species